GCUUGGUGAUUUUUCUUUAUUUGCAACCAAAUAUACGACUGAAUAUAGACGUUAAUUCACACGAAAAUAAAACGUCAUUAAUAAUGAAGGGGAAAACGUCACCAUUCCACGUGUAUUCGUUAAUUACCGUGAUGAAGUGCUCAUUGUGCCGUUGUAAGACCAAUAUAUCAAUCGAAGGGCCAUCAACAAUCUGGACAGUAUCGUAUUGUGUUUGCAUGCCACUGUGAUGGGAAGGACGCCAUUGAGUGACCUAAUUAAACGUACAUUCACCUGGAUUGAAGAUACUUCAGAGGCUACUCUAAAGACCCAUGGAACAUGAAAUCAAGUGAGGAUGGAGCUGCACUAAGUGUACCCUCUGGCUUUUUACUGUGGAAACCUGCUCAACUGGACCUGUUCUGUUUGGCUGCUAACUCACCUGUACCUGCUGCGGGACACACACGCACUGUGACAUGACACGGACACGGACUUUACUGGAACAUGAGAGCAACGGACGGGCAGCACUACACCUGAUUUAUAGAUCACAGGCCAAGGAGAGCCUCAUUUGCUGCUUUUGAAACAGUCAUUCACCAGUAGUAAGAAGGAGCCGAGACAAUAAAUA